AGAGUUUGAUCCUGGCUCAGGAUGAACGCUAGCGGCAGGCCUAACACAUGCAAGUCGAACGGUAACAUGAGAGCUUGCUCUUGAUGACGAGUGGCGCACGGGUGCGUAACGCGUAUGCAACUUACCCCAAACUGGAGAAUAGCCUUUAGAAAUGAAGAAUAAUACUCCAUAGUAUUCCAGAGAGGCAUCUCUUUGGUCUUAAAGCUUCGGCGGUUUGGGAUGGGCAUGCGUUCUAUUAGUUAGUUGGUGAGGUAACGGCUCACCAAGACCACGAUAGAUAGGGGGCCUGAGAGGGUUAUCCCCCACACUGGUACUGAGACACGGACCAGACUCCUACGGGAGGCAGCAGUGAGGAAUAUUGCACAAUGGACGAAAGUCUGAUGCAGCCAUGCCGCGUGCAGGAUGAAUGCCCUAUGGGUUGUAAACUGCUUUUAUAUAGGAAGAAACUUUUCUACGUGUAGAGAACUGACGGUACUAUAAGAAUAAGGACCGGCUAACUCCGUGCCAGCAGCCGCGGUAAUACGGAGGGUCCAAGCGUUAUCCGGAUUUAUUGGGUUUAAAGGGUCCGUAGGCGGGAAAUUAAGUCAGUGGUGAAAGCCUACAGCUCAACUGUAGAACUGCCAUUGAAACUGAUUUUCUUGAAUAUAGAUGAAGUAGGCGGAAUAUAUCAUGUAGCGGUGAAAUGCAUAGAUAUGAUAUAGAACACCGAUUGCGAAGGCAGCUUACUAAACUAUUAUUGACGCUGAGGGACGAAAGUGUGGGGAGCGAACAGGAUUAGAUACCCUGGUAGUCCACACCGUAAACUAUGAUCACUAGAUGUUGGCGAUAUACAGUCAGUGUCUUAGAGAAAUCGUUAAGUGAUCCACCUGGGGAGUACGUUCGCAAGAAUGAAACUCAAAGGAAUUGACGGGGGCCCGCACAAGCGGUGGAGCAUGUGGUUUAAUUCGAUGAUACGCGAGGAACCUUACCUGGGCUUAAAUGUAUUUUGACAGAUUGAGAAAUCAAUUGUUCUUCGGACAAUUUACAAGGUGCUGCAUGGUUGUCGUCAGCUCGUGCCGUGAGGUGUCGGGUUAAGUCCCAUAACGAGCGCAACCCCUAUUUUUAGUUACCAGCGAAUAAAGUCGGGGACUCUAACGAAACUGCCAGCGUAAGCUGCGAGGAAGGUGGGGAUGACGUCAAAUCAUCACGGCCCUUACGUCCUGGGCCACACACGUGCUACAAUGGUUACUACAGUGGGCUGCCAUCUGGCAACAGAGAGCAAAUCCAUAAAGGUAAUCCUAGUUCGGAUCGGAGUCUGCAACUCGACUCUGUGAAGUUGGAUUCGCUAGUAAUCGCGGAUCAGCAUGCCGCGGUGAAUACGUUCCCGGGCCUUGUACACACCGCCCGUCACACCAUGGGAAUUGGCUUUACCCGAAGGUAGUGUGCUAACCGCAAGGAGGCAGCUAACCACGGUAAGGUCAGUAACUGGGGUGAAGUCGUAACAAGGUAACC
rnacentral:rRNA from 1 species